rfam:Ixodes scapularis strain Wikel colony gcontig_1108379184184, whole genome shotgun sequence.
GCAGUCGUGGCCGAGUGGUUAAGGCGAUGGACUAAGAAUCCCCUUGGAGUCUCCCCGCACAGAUUCGAAUCUUGUCGACUGCG